GACGAACGCUGGCGGCGUGCUUAACACAUGCAAGUCGAACGGAAAGGCCCUGCAUUUGUGGGGUGCUCGAGUGGCGAACGGGUGAGUAACACGUGAGUAGCCUGCCCUUGACUUUGGGAUAACUUCAGGAAACUGGGGCUAAUAACGGAUAGGAGCUCCUGCUGCAUGGUGGGGGUUGGAAAGUUUCGGCGGUUGGGGAUGGACUCGCGGCUUAUCAGCUUGUUGGUGGGGUAGUGGCUUACCACGGCUUUGACGGGUAGCCGGCCUGAGAGGGUGACCGGCCACAUUGGGACUGAGAUACGGCCCAGACGCCUACGGGAGGCAGCAGUGGGGAAUAUUGCACAAUGGGGGGAAGCCUGAUGCAGCAACGCCGCGUGCGGGAUGACGGCCUUCGUGUUGUAAACCGCUUUCGCCUGUGACGAAGCGUGAGUGACGGUAAUGGGUAAAGAAGCACCGGCUAACUACGUG
rnacentral:rRNA from 1 species